GUUACCACUAACCGUAACACACAGCAAGGAAGAAGGGGAAUUUGAUCUCUAAGUAUUGCCUUUCAGGCUAACAUAUCACCAGUAUAAACAGUUAACACAACACACCCUCAAGUAGUGAUGGGUCCAGCAACACCGACACACCGGUGACCGGCGCAUGUGUCAAGCUCAUGGAGCGAAACCUGUGUCGAUGCGUGUGUUGCUUUAAGAAAAAGUCACGUGACCGACGCUGCUGCUGUGUCGCUCAUUGCCAAGGCGCCAAACGGUGUUUAUAAGGUAUCAACUCUGCAUCUGUCAACAACGGGAGGGAAUCACUUACGUUUUCAAAGGUAAAACAAGACAUCCCUCUCUACAUCAACAAAAUGGAGCCGGAGAGAAAAAGAAAAGUAUCUGCUGUGUGGGAUCAUUUUGAUCUUUUAACUUGCUAAUAAGGUUAAAUGUCGCAUCUGCUCAGCGGAGUUGUCUUACACAAAUAAGAGCACAUCCUCAAUGCUGAGACAUUACAGUCAAGCAUGAAAACGAAGAGGAAGUAAAUACACCAAGAACGGACACAGAAUCUAGGAAGAUUGCUCUGGACCAAGCAGUCCUGAAUUUUAUUAUAAAGGACUGCCAACCCCUGAGCAUUGUGGAGAGUGAGGGGUUCAGGGGGUUGAUUCUGGUCCUUGAUCCAUCUAACGUUUUGCCAACCAGAAAGACGGUUAAGGAAAUGAUGGCCAAAAAGCAUGCGGAGGAACUCGAACGAGUAAAAAGGGAAGUACAGCAAGCUGUGGCAGUGCGUAUAACAGCUGAUACGUGGACCUCCUUGAACAUGGAGGCUUAGCUCUUACCUGUCACUACAUCAGUGAUAAUAUGCAGUUGUGUACGUCUGUGUUGGGAGUCAAACACUUUCCACAAAGUCACACUGCUGACACUCUGGCCCAAGUCAAAAGGGGCAUGAUGGAUGACUGGGCCAUAACAAAUAAGGUAAGGUGUCUUGUGACCGAUGCAGCACCAAACAUGAUAGCAGCAACACGAACUCUUCAAAUUCGACAUUCAAUCUGCAUUUUGCACACAAACUAAAUUUAAUAGUCAAAAAAUCCUGUGAUCAGAUCCCUGAACUUUCAUCCAUAAGACACAAAUCUAGGCAAAUCAUAUAAUUCUUCAGAUCCAGCACCACAGCAAAAGAGAAGCUUGCUCAAGUGCAGCAACAGAUGGGACGGCCCACCUUGAAACUUGUCACUGAGGUGCCAGCACGUUGGAACAGCACAUAUCAGAUGCUGUCACGGCUACAUGAUGAGAGAGAACCAGUGUGGGUGUCUCUUGCCUCUCUCCUAACAGAUUGAACUCCACUCACAGCUGAUGGGUGUAACAUCUUAAGGGAAGCACUUCUUGUGCUGGCCCCUUUCCAUCAGGCCACAGUGGAGUUGCCUGAGGAGAGUUUCAGGAUCAAAGGUCAUCCUGAUGAUGAAAAUGCUAAAUUGUGCACUUGAGCGGAACUCUUCGCAUCUACACACACAAGCAGCCACACAUCUCCAUGACCAGCUUAGAUGUCGCGUCACAGACACUGCUUCUAACCUGGAGUCAUUAAGUGUGUUGACCCUAUCAACACUUUUCGACCCCAGAUUUAAAACACUCGGAUUUCGUAGUUCCUCCAAGUGUAGUGAGGCUGUCAGUCGCCUGAAAAUGGAGUGUGCUGCAGCCACAGCCUGGACCUUCAUCAGAGCAGUUACCCACUUCA